GCCUUCCCGGGGGCAGAGAGCUGCCUCCGUGCCUCUGCUGCCGACACCCUCACCCACGGCUUCUUUGUGGCUGUCCUGGAGCGGCGCGGGGACGGGGCCGCUGCCUCGAGCUCCCUGCCUGCGGCUGCUGAUGACAGCCCGCAGCAUGGCAAGGGAACAGAGCCAGGAGCAGCUCCCAGGAAGAGGAAGAGGAAAAAGCAGCGGGUAAAGGAGGGAAACGACCCUUUUUAGGACUGUGCAGUGCCCAGCUGGGGCUGGUGGGGAUUGUCACCUUGCUGCCUGCCUGAGCUGUGGCACAGCCUCCCAUCAUUGGUAAAGUCAGCUGGGUUAA